UCUGGUAUUUUACUUGAACAAAGAAGCUUGAAGAGUAUUUCUGAAUGAGAGAGCACAUUGUGCUAUUGUGAAGCUAUGAGUGAUGGAGAGGAUAAAAACCACGAGCCAAGAGAAUAAAGGUCAUGAAUGAGGGUAUUUUUCUUUUGCGUUGUUGUAUUUCUUUCUUUUGUUUUUACACCCUGCGACUCUUAAAACUGGCAUUCCUGUACCAGAUGUGGCAAUCAGGCCUCCAUUACAUUUUGUCCUCUUCCUUGGAUUUGACUUUGCCAUCAUUAUUAUGUUGCCUUUAAUGCUAUAGAGGAAGAUGUGUUGUCUUCUUCACAGGCUGCCGUAGCUGUAGCAUGUAGCCUUGUUUGCUUUACUGCCCCCCCCCCCCCCCCCCCCCCCCCAACUUGCUGCUGUUUGUAAAAUGUCACCUUCACAAUUCUUGGAGAAGUGAUUUCAUGUAUGGAUCAUGGUUGAGAGGCGACAUUACUGCUCCCUCAUUUUGUCAUCAGUUGCAGAAAACAGAAAAUGUGAAGCUAUCUCGCUAGACCUCGACGCAAAAUAAUCUGGCAGGAUAUCAAGCACAUGAUGUACAAUUUUUCUGUGUGUAUAUUAUUCAAAUUUAAACCAUUGUUGUUAUUAUUAUUAUUAUUAUUAUUAUUAUUAUUAUUAUUAUUAAUAUUAUUAUUCAUGUCAUCAUUUCUUACCUAUUCCUUUAAUAUUGAACACUUUGGGUCUCCAUACUUAUACUUAUGUCCUAAUAUCGCAUAUUUCCCCCUGAAACACGGGUUUAUGUGCCGAUGACGCUAACGCUGAAGAUAACAGUGAACGAGUCUUACAUUACUUUGCUCCUCUACCUCGACAUUUCUGAUUUAAAAAUGCUCAAAUGUGUUUAUUGGGCCUUUAGCAGCAGAGAUGUAAGAUGGUGGUGAUGUUUGUUCAUCCAGUGAUUAAUCUGCCCAGCCCUCUGUGUACCUCCGCCUGCAGCGGCCCGUACUCCACCACUUCUCCGUCUACUGUUAUUACCCCUUUGGGUGAAGAUGGCUCCAGCCUGAGCGCCCGCACCUUAGCGUGCACUAAAUGUUGACAGUUAGUAGCCAGAUGUGCUCCCUUCUCCAUAGCGAGGAACAGCUUCAGCAGCGCGGUGCGUGAUAUCCCCGCUCUGACGUAGAAAAGAUGGAUGACGCCGUCGUCCGGAGUGGCGUCUGGUGCUGCCAGCAGGUCCUCCGCCAGGUUGGACUGGUACAUGGCCAGCAUGAGGACAAAAUCUU
rnacentral:lncRNA from 1 species